UUAUCCUACGGGACGCAGCAGUCGGGAAUAUUGCGCAAUGGAGGAAACUCUGACGCAGUGACGCCGCGUAUAGGAAGAAGGUCUUCGGAUUGUAAACUAUUGUCGUUAGGGAAGAGAAAGGACAGUACCUAAGGAGGAAGCUCCGGCUAACUACGUGCCAGCAGCCGCGGUAAUACGUAGGGAGCGAGCGUUAUCCGGAUUUAUUGGGUGUAAAGGGUGCGUAGGCGGGAAAUUAAGUUAGUUGUGAAAUCCCUCGGCUUAACUGAGGAACUGGAACUAAAACUGGUUUUCUUGAGUACUGGAAG
rnacentral:rRNA from 1 species